AUCAGUGUUGAUAUCCUGUGAUUCAGUAAUGCAGUACCCCAGUACAGUAGUGAGUUUCGAGGACAGUAAAGUGGUAUCCGAGCUGUGGUAUCUGGAGUCGUUAUAAUUGUUAUAGUGGUUGUGAACUGUGCAUUCAUAUAUGUGUACUCGUUCGUUAUUCUCAUGAUUAUUCUGUUGAUUAAAUGUUCAUGCAUAAGCCCUUGCAUUUAGCCUUCCCUGCUUGCAU
rnacentral:lncRNA from 1 species